AAAGCAGGAUAGAGAACACGCUGGAUCCCAUCUGAUCUCGGAAGCUAAGCAGGGUCGGGCCUGGUUAGUACUUGGAUGGGAGACAACCUAGGAAGACCAGGUGCUGUA
rnacentral:rRNA from 1 species